rnacentral:lncRNA from 1 species
GGCAGGGCAGCCCAGGCCAUUAGGGUGACGUUUUCCUCCAUGUCAGUGCAGGGUAGGAAGAUCAAGAUCUCUCUCAGUGACCAAGGGAGAAGAACUUUUGGUCCACGUGCGUGUCUUGCAGUGGGGGAUCCCAAAUGAAGCCCCGUGUCCUGCAGCUCCUGGAAAUGCCACAUCAGAAACAUUCCUGCUACUGGGAAAAACACUUUGAAGACCAGGAAAACUGCAGACUUCAGUUGUUCUUUGUGGCUUCUGCAAUUUUUUCCUGGUGAGGUACAUUGCACGGAAAACCGUCGUGCCCGAUGUGGUCAGCAUUCUUAUUUACCAUAAGCAGAGCAGUUACACAUUGUUAAAUUAUUAUUAGCUUAGCUACCACUGGGAGGGUUGCCUCAGCCCUGCCAGCAGGGCUGAAACAAAUACCCACUGUUGCACACAGUCAACCAGCAAUGAGUUGCAUGGAUGCCCAGAACGUGUCUUGCUGCACGGCUGUCCCCCCAGGCAGCAGCCCUUGAGGAACACAGGCUGAGCUGGGAUCUCUUGCAAUGGGAUGGGUUGAACGUGUGGAUGCUUUGGAGCUGAAUCUGAAUGUUCUCAGUGUGAGCCUUCGUUCACCCGUUGUGUCAGCCCAUCCAAAGCUGAAGAAUUCACUGCCAAAGGAAAUCUGGAGCUAAAUUCUCAAUUCCAAGCUCUGACGCUGGCAAUAUUUGCACCAAGAAACCUGACAAAAUUCAGGAAGUUUUUUAUGGCCGAUUCUUUCUGCCUGGAUAGAGCUCGUGCCAACAACAAUAUCAGCUCUGUGAAAGAAUUUUAUGGUGUUUUGCUGUGCCUGUGCCAUGGGAAAAAGGGGCAAGGAUGGACUUUACGGGGUGUUUGUAGAAGGACGAAGCACAUCGUCCUCACCCAAAGGGCAGCCAUCAAAGCAAAGCUGUGGCAGCAGGCAGUUCUUCUGCUCAGCCUGAACGUGCAGGGAGCAUCCCAUGGCUGGGAGGUGACUGCAGCCUCCACAGCACUGCUGUAGGCAGACAGCUGAGACGUGGCAUUCUGCACAAACCAGUGGCUGACUCCAGGCUGGGCCGCGUCCCCCAUCCCAGCACCUCAACACUGACCCCCCCAGGAUUGCUCAGCAAUUAACUGUGUGCUCCAUGGGUGAAAUGCGUGAAGUCUUGUGACAGCCACCUCGUCCCACAAGGCAGGGGGUGCUGAGAAAGACAAAACAACCCGCUCCCUCUCCUCUCUCAUUAAAGCAAAUGUCAUCGGCUGUGAUCAGCCUCUGUGUACAUGCACACAGCCAGCAGGAGAAAAUCAAACAUCAAAAGGGAAAGAAAAGAAAAAGAGACCCGAACAGGAUAUUGACAUCAUUGGGAGCUCUGCGAAUGGAGAUGAAAUGUAAAAUGAAGUUGCAAUCUGGCUGAUAGAAGUUGAGGACACGUUAACCCUUGGGCAGACCCGCUGCUUGCAGGGGUGGGAGGAGAGCUGCUUCCAUGGGCACCUGGGCUGCGAUUUGCUCUGGAAUGUGGGAGGAAUCUGACACCCAAAUUGCUUGGGAAGUUGGACACGUCCUGCCAUGGGCUGCUCGGGAAUUGCCAGUUCUCAUUAAUCUCUGCUGUGGAUCUGACAAGUCAGCUGGAGGGAAAUGGUUCAUUUCAUUUUCUUCUCAUCGAGAUUUUCCCACCGCUCUUUCCCUCCCCGUCUGUCCCACUGAUGAGGCAAGAAAAGGAUGACAAAGCAGAAAGCGAGGGAAGAUGCAGGGUGAACGUUUCCGCCGGGAUGUUUAAUGAUGAGAAAGGAAAGAAAGCACCAAAAGAAGUUCCUGACGGAAAAUUCCUCACAGCUUUCAUGUCGCAGCCCCUGACCUUCAGCUGCCCAUAAACACCCUGCAGCCACCCCCAGCACGUUCCCAGCAGCCCGGUGGGGCUCUGCAUUGAGCCACCCUUCCACCAGCAAAGCUCAGACUGGGAAUUCAAACCCCAAAUCUGGCUGUGGGGUGCCAGCAGCCAAACACAGCCUGGUUCAGCACCCCGUGCUCUGGUACCCCAAGGGGCCAUCAUUCACCACCACAUGUGAUGUGUGGUGUGGGCACACACCUUCAGAAACCCUCAAAACCAAAUAAGAUAUCACUGUCGAUAGGAG